UAGGGAAUCUUCGGCAAUGGACGAAAGUCUGACCGAGCAACGCCGCGUGAGUGAAGAAGGUUUUCGGAUCGUAAAACUCUGUUGUUAGAGAAGAACAAGGACGUUAGUAACUGAACGUCCCCUGACGGUAUCUAACCAGAAAGCCACGGCUAACUACGUGCCAGCAGCCGGUAAUACGUAGGUGGCAAGCGUUGUCCGGAUUUAUUGGGCGUAAAGCGAGCGCAGGCGGUUUCUUAAGUCUGAUGUGAAAGCCCCCGGCUCAACCGGGGAGGGUCAUUGGAAACUGGGAGACUUGAGUGCAGAAGAGGAGAGUGGAAUUCCAUGUGUAGCGGUGAAAUGCGUAGAUAUAUGGAGGAACACCAGUGGCGAAGGCGGCUCUCUGGUCUGUAACUGACGCUGAGGCUCGAAAGCGUGGGGAGCAAACAGG
rnacentral:rRNA from 1 species